rnacentral:rRNA from 1 species
CAGGGAAUCUUGCGCAAUGGGCUGUAUAAGCCUGACGCAGCGACACCGCGUGGAGGAAGACGGCUUUCGAGUUGUAAACUCCUUUUCUCAAGGAAGAGAGAGGACGGUACUUGAGGAAUAAGCUUCGGCUAACUACGUGCCAGCAGCCGCGGUAAUACGUAGGAAGCGAGCGUUGUCCGGAUUUACUGGGCGUAAAGGGCAAGCAGGUGGUCGAUUAUGUCCUAUGUGAAAUCUCCGUGCUCAACGCGGAGCGGUCAUAGGAAACUGGUCGACUAGAGGCCAGCAGAGGGAAGCAGAAUUUCCGGUGUAGCGGUGAAAUGCGUAGAUACCGGGAGGAAUACCAGAGGCGAAGGCGGCUUCCUAGGCUGGAUCUGACACUGAUAUGCGAAAGCAUGGGUAGCGAACCGG